CUGGUGAACAUGAUGGAGGUUUUCCUUGUGUCUUAAACUUCGUCUUUGAAACGCAGUGGUGACGGGGACGAUGGUCUGACGCCUGCGUUCAGAGCACGCUGUCUGGUCGCUGAUCGGGCACGAGCAGAACAGCAUGCCAUAGCUGUGCUUUGGAGGAACCUGUGAGGCAACAGGAACAUUACCUGUGAGUUAUCCAGCAAAACAAGUGGCCAUCAAACACUGAGCUCGUGUCAGAAGUGCCUUGCCUUGUCAAAGAACUGCCGCAGGGCCUUGUGGCACUUCCUCUUGUUGCAGACUUCGGCGGUGGAGACGCGGCUGGUGCAGGGGCUGAUGCUCACCUAAAAACAUGUCAAGGAGAGACGCGGGGACGGGGAAGAUGGAUUGGAAAAGAAGACAGAGAAUAAAGGGUUCUACACAGCACACCGAGAGGACACCAACAGAUCAUCUCACAGAAGCAAAUUGGACUCUGCAGGCUGAAGCAUCUCAGUGAAAGUGUACAGAAGUGUAGAAAAAGAGAGAAUGACUGAGUAAAACAGGCAGAGAGCCAGCAGCUUAAUGAAUUCUCUCAAAAUGAGUAGAAUACCCCAGCAGCACGUGUCUGUCUCUAUCUGUGUGUGUGUGUGUGUCAGCUGAUACAAAUGUUUGUUUUCAUGUAUUUUCUGCAUCUGUGUGUGUGUGUGUGUGUUUGUGUGUUU